rnacentral:misc_RNA from 1 species
UCCGAGUUGUCCCCGGCAGUCUCCUUAGAGUCCCCGCCAUUACGCGCUGGCAACUAAAGGUAAGGGUUGCGCUCGUUGCGGGACUUAACCCAACAUCUCACGACACGAGCUGACGACAGCCAUGCAGCACCUGUGUACCGACCCUUGCGGGCGAGGACAUCUCUGCCACUCUUCCAGUACAUGUCAAGCCUAGGUAAGGUUCUUCGCGUUGCAUCGAAUUAAACCACAUGCUCCACCGCUUGUGCGGGCCCCCGUCAAUUUCUUUGAGUUUUAAUCUUGCGACCGUACUCCCCAGGCGGGAUACUUAACGCGUUAGCUACGUCACUAGAGGGGUCAAUACCUCUAACAACAAGUAUCCAUCGUUUACGGUGUGGACUAC